GAUGAACGCUGGCGGCGUGCCUAAUACAUGCAAGUCGAGCGAACAGACGAGGAGCUUGCUCCUCUGACGUUAGCGGCGGACGGGUGAGUAACACGUGGAUAACCUACCUAUAAGACUGGGAUAACUUCGGGAAACCGGAGCUAAUACCGGAUAAUAUAUUGAACCGCAUGGUUCAAUAGUGAAAGACGGUUUUGCUGUCACUUAUAGAUGGAUCCGCGCCGCAUUAGCUAGUUGGUAAGGUAACGGCUUACCAAGGCGACGAUGCGUAGCCGACCUGAGAGGGUGAUCGGCCACACUGGAACUGAGACACGGUCCAGACUCCUACGGGAGGCAGCAGUAGGGAAUCUUCCGCAAUGGGCGAGAGCCUGACGGAGCAACGCCGCGUGAGUGAUGAAGGUCUUCGGAUCGUAAAACUCUGUUAUUAGGGAAGAACAAAUGUGUAAGUAACUAUGCACGUCUUGACGGUACCUAAUCAGAAAGCCACGGCUAACUACGUG
rnacentral:rRNA from 1 species